UACGAAGGGUGCAAGCGUUACUCGGAAUCACUGGGCGUAAAGCGUGCGUAGGCGGUUUCUUAAGUCUGUCGUGAAAGCCCUGGGCUCAACCUGGGAACGGCGAUGGAUACUGGGAAGCUAGAAUGUGAGAGAGGAUGGUGGAAUUCCCGGUGUAGCGGUGAAAUGCGUAGAUAUCAGGAGGAACACCGGUGGUGUAGACGGCUCACUGGACCGUAACUGACGCUGAGACACGAAAGCGUGGGUAGCAAACAGG
rnacentral:rRNA from 1 species